UGAGUUUGAUCAUGGCUCAGGACGAACGCCGGCGGCACGCUUAACACAUGCAAGUCGAACGAGAGAAGAGGAGCUUGCUUUUCUGAUCUAGUGGCGGACGGGUGAGUAACACGUGAGCAAUCUGCCUUUCAGAGGGGGAUACCGAUUGGAAACGAUCGUUAAUACCGCAUAACAUAAUUGAACCGCAUGAUUUGAUUAUCAAAGAUUUAUCGCUGAAAGAUGAGCUCGCGUCUGAUUAGCUAGUUGGUAAGGUAACGGCUUACCAAGGCGACGAUCAGUAGCCGGACUGAGAGGUUGAUCGGCCACAUUGGGACUGAGACACGGCCCAGACUCCUACGGGAGGCAGCAGUGGGGAAUAUUGCACAAUGGAGGAAACUCUGAUGCAGCGAUGCCGCGUGAGGGAAGAAGGUUUUAGGAUUGUAAACCUCUGUCUUCAGGGACGAAAAAAGACGGUACCUGAGGAGGAAGCUCCGGCUAACUACGUGCCAGCAGCCGCGGUAAUACGUAGGGAGCGAGCGUUGUCCGGAAUUACUGGGUGUAAAGGGAGCGUAGGCGGGAUCGCAAGUCAGAUGUGAAAACUAUGGGCUUAACCCAUAAACUGCAUUUGAAACUGUGGUUCUUGAGUGAAGUAGAGGUAAGCGGAAUUCCUAGUGUAGCGGUGAAAUGCGUAGAUAUUAGGAGGAACAUCAGUGGCGAAGGCGGCUUACUGGGCUUUAACUGACGCUGAGGCUCGAAAGCGUGGGGAGCAAACAGGAUUAGAUACCCUGGUAGUCCACGCCGUAAACGAUGAUUACUAGGUGUGGGGGGACUGACCCCUUCCGUGCCGCAGCAAACGCAAUAAGUAAUCCACCUGGGGAGUACGACCGCAAGGUUGAAACUCAAAGGAAUUGACGGGGGCCCGCACAAGCAGUGGAGUAUGUGGAUUAAUUCGAAGCAACGCGAAGAACCUUACCAGGUCUUGACAUCGUAUGCAUAGCUCAGAGAUGAGUGAAAUCUCUUCGGAGACAUAUAGACAGGUGGUGCAUGGUUGUCGUCAGCUCGUGUCGUGAGAUGUUGGGUUAAGUCCCGCAACGAGCGCAACCCUUACUGUUAGUUGCUACGCAAGAGCACUCUAGCAGGACUGCCGUUGACAAAACGGAGGAAGGUGGGGAUGACGUCAAAUCAUCAUGCCCCUUAUGACCUGGGCCUCACACGUACUACAAUGGCUGUCAACAGAGGGAAGCAAAGCCGCGAGGUGGAGCGAACCCCUAAAAGCAGUCUUAGUUCGGAUUGUAGGCUGCAACCCGCCUACAUGAAGUCGGAAUUGCUAGUAAUCGCAGAUCAGCAUGCUGCGGUGAAUACGUUCCCGGGCCUUGUACACACCGCCCGUCACGCCAUGGGAGUCGGUAACACCCGAAGCCUGUAGUCUAACCGCAAGGAGGACGCAGUCGAAGGUGGGAUUGAUGACUGGGGUGAAGUCGUAACAAGGUA
rnacentral:rRNA from 1 species